rnacentral:rRNA from 1 species
ACUCAAAUGAAUUGACGGGACCCCGCACAAGCGGUGGAGCAUGUGGAUUAAUUCGAUAUUAACCGAAGAACCUUACCCAGGUUUGACAUCGAGGGAAAGCCUGCGAAAUCAGGCCCCCGACCCAAAAGGUCGGUCCGAAGACACUUGUUGCAUGGCUGUCGUCAGCUCGUGCCGUGAGGUGUACGGUUAAGUCCGCCAACGAGCGCAACCCUCGUCCUGUGUUGCCAGCAUGAAAGAUGGGAACUCACAGGAGACCGCCGGCGUCGAGCCGGAGGAAGGUGGGGAUGAUGUCAAGUCAGCAUGGCAGUUACGCCUGGGGCUUCACACAUGCUACAAUGGGCGAAACAAAGGGCGGCAAUGUCGCGAGACGGAGCUAAUCCCAAAAAUACGCCCUCAGUUCAGAUUGCAGUCUGCAACUCGACUGCAUGAAGGCGGAAUCGCUAGUAAACGCAGGUCAGCUAUACUGCGUUGAAUACGUUCCCGGGGUUUGUACACACCGCCCGU